rnacentral:rRNA from 1 species
AGAGUUUGAUCCUGGCUCAGGACGAACGCUGGCGGCGUGCUUAACACAUGCAAGUCGAGCGGAAAGGCCCUUCGGGGUACUCGAGCGGCGAACGGGUGAGUAACACGUGAGCAACCUGCCCCUAGCUCUGGGAUAGCUCCGGGAAACCGGGAUUAAUACCAGAUGCAACCACUUUAGACAUCUGUUGUGGUGGAAAGGAUUCUGGCUAGGGAUGGGCUCGCGGCCUAUCAGCUUGUUGGUGGGGUAACGGCCUACCAAGGCGACGACGGGUAGCCGGCCUGAGAGGGCGACCGGCCACACUGGGACUGAGACACGGCCCAGACUCCUACGGGAGGCAGCAGUGGGGAAUAUUGCGCAAUGGGCGAAAGCCUGACGCAGCGACGCCGCGUGGGGGAUGAAGGCCUUCGGGUUGUAAACCCCUUUCAGCAGGGACGAAGCGAAAGUGACGGUACCUGCAGAAGAAGCGCCGGCUAACUACGUGCCAGCAGCCGCGGUAACACGUAGGGCGCAAGCGUUGUCCGGAAUUAUUGGGCGUAAAGAGCUCGUAGGCGGUCUGUUGCGUCCGCUGUGAAAACUCGGGGCUUAACCCCGAGCUUGCAGUGGAUACGGGCAGACUAGAGGUAGGUAGGGGAGAAUGGAAUUCCCGGUGUAGCGGUGAAAUGCGCAGAUAUCGGGAGGAACACCGGUGGCGAAGGCGGUUCUCUGGGCCUUACCUGACGCUGAGGAGCGAAAGCGUGGGGAGCGAACAGGAUUAGAUACCCUGGUAGUCCACGCUGUAAACGUUGGGCGCUAGGUGUGGGAUCCUUCCACGGAUUCCGUGCC